ensembl:lncRNA
GAACACACAUUCACCGCUGAGGCAGCACAGGGAAACUCCUCCACGUCAGAGAAAUGAACAUCACUUUGGGUGUUGGUUUCUCGGCUGUUGUGCCGAGCGUGGACAACGUUUGAUGUCAGAACAAAAGACAAAUUGAGGCAUGAGUCUCUAUAAGCAACAGAUGAGACGUCCGACCACAGCGGCGGCAGCGGCCCCCACUGACGGCUCAGAGUUUCCCCGGAGAGAAAUCCUCUUUGUCUCGGCGGUCCGAGCCGGCGCUUCUUUCAUCGGGAUGUCCCAACAGAAGCUUGCACAAAGUCAACAAAGCCAC